rnacentral:rRNA from 1 species
CGUGAGGGAGGAGGCUCUUGGGUCGUAAACCUCUUUUCUCAGGGAAGAAACAAUGACGGUACCUGAGGAAUAAGCAUCGGCUAACUCCGUGCCAGCAGCCGCGGUAAUACGGAGGAUGCAAGCGUUAUCCGGAAUGAUUGGGCGUAAAGCGUCCGCAGGUGGCGAUGUAAGUCUGCUGUUAAAGAGUCUAGCUCAACUAGAUAAGAGCAGUGGAAACUACAUAGCUAGAGUACGUUCGGGGCAGAGGGAAUUCCUGGUGUAGCGGUGAAAUGCGUAGAGAUCAGGAAGAACACCAGUGGCGAAGGCGCUCUGCUAGGCCGUAACUGACACUGAGGGACGAAAGCUAGGGGAGCGAAUGGGAUUAGAUACCCCCCGUAAACGAUGGAUACUAGGCGUG